GAUAGAUCGGUAUAUAUAAGUAGAAGGCAGCGUCAUAACCUGGAAGUCAGAGAAAAUGGGCUUGCAGUGGGCAAUCGGGUUGGCACCGCAGAGCACCCGCACAGCCUUCUUUUGCAAACGAAAAGCUCUUUCCGUAUAUCCAACCCCACCCCAAAGCACAAUGCCAUAAGACAGCACACUAUGAAAAAGCCCAAAAUAGGCUAUCCUAAGGGCCGCCGGGGUUAGACAAUGGCUGAGAUGUCUCAGUAGGAACAGUCGCCGAGACAACGUUGCACAGACCUCAUGAAUCUGGCCUGACCAUGACAGAGUCCUGUCAAUUACGAAUCCCAAGAGGGUUAUAUUAUUUUGAUACAGAUAGUCGACUUUACUGCAGGAGAAGGUAAGUUCUUGAGUUUUUUGUUUAUUGAGGACUAAGUUAUUUGCAGAAAACCAUUGCUGGAGAACAUUUGUUGCUACGCUGACAUCUUCACUAAGCAUUCGUUGAUGCUUAGCUGUUAACAGAAUGGCAGUGUCGUCAGCAAACAAGGUGACAUUCGCAUCUGGCACGGACAAUGGCAGAUCAUUUAUAUAAAUGAUGAAGAGCAACGGCCCAAGAACCGAGCCCUGUGGGACACCGCAGCUCACUGGAAGAGCAUCAUCACUCGACACUCCACCAAACUCAACAUACUGAAACCUGUUACUAAGAUACGAUUUUAUUAACUUUAGAGGGAUACCUCUGACGCCAUAAAAUUUUAAUUUGUUUAAGAGCACAUCGUGAUCGACGCAGUCAAACGCUUUCGUAAGGUCGUACAGAAGUGCCUUUGAUACGUCGCCAGCAUCGAAACCCCGCACCACACUGUUCACAAAGUGCAUAAGUGCAUGGGUCGUGGAUUUCCCCUCACGAAAGCCAAACUGCGAUUCACACAGAAGUUUAUUUUCCUCAAAAAACAGUGACAGGCGAGCCUUCAGGGCUUUCUCAAUGACUUUACCGAAUAUAGGGGUAAUUGCAAUGGGCCUAAAGUUAUUUGGUGUAUGUUGAUCGUCUUUUUUGUGAAUUGGAAUUAUUUUUGAAAGUUUUAGAUCCGAAGGAAAUACACCACUCGAAAACACUGCGUUCGUUAUGGCUGCCAGGGGACCCACGAUGUACUCAAUGGUGUGUUUCAAUAUUUUUGAAUUUAAGCCGAAGCAAUCGGUAGAACUUGAGUUGUUUAGACCCAUAAUAAUGCCAUACAUCUCACUCUCAGAGACCGGGCUUAAGAAGAAAGAUUUACACGGAGAGGGUGUUUUCGUAAGGUACACAUAUGGGUCACUGGAUUUCCCAAUGGAUGAUACUAGGUCAUUUACUACAUUGGAGAAUUAGCAUUAGCCAGUCUAUACUCAGCCCAACUGUCGCGUGGGGAAAAUAUUCGACACUUGGCUUUUAAAAGCAUCACGUGAUCCCUCAUAAGUUUGAGGUCACGAUUGAACCAGACCACGGGGGGACGGAAGGAAUUACUGCGCUUUACGACUUUAAAGUGAUUCUGGAUAUUGGCGGUGAAGAUAUGAAGCAGUUCUUUUGUUGAGUUGAUCGGAUCGGCGUUAGUAUUAAUAAAAGGUUCCCAAUCGGUGCUCUCAAAACUUGUGCAGAGGUUAUUCAGACCCGCCCGGGUAAUUGGUCUGAAUUGAAUAUGGUCAUCGUGCACAGAGGAAACAUCAAAGUGUAAUUCCAUAAAAACAGCGGAAUGAUCAGAGAGUGCUGGAUCCUCACUGCCCGCAGUGAACAGAGUGGGGGAUAUAUUGACAAGGAAAUUAUCAAUGCAACUUGACGUAGUUUCAGUUAUACGGGUAUGGUCAGCGACACUAGGGGAGAUUCCAAAGGUGGCAAAGUAGAGGUCAUUUAAAAGAAGUUCUAGCCUGGAUAUAAAUAGAUAAGGGUCGCCGUGGCUCCCCGAUCUAUAUACAUUGAUAACUACGGUAUUUUUGUGGGUUAAUUCAAUGCCGCAAAAUUCGGCAUGGAUGUCUAGUGAGUAUUUAUCUAAAUCUAAAGUUCUACAGUUGACUUUGUGUUUGCUAUAAAUUGAUACGCCCCCUCUGACCGCAGUCUGACGGCAUCGAAAGCUUUUCAAUAGAAAAUUAUUUACACAUAUUGAUUUUAAAAGUUCUUCAUCACAGACAAAGU